rnacentral:rRNA from 1 species
UGGGGAAUUUUGGACAAUGGGCGAAAGCCUGAUCCAGCAAUGCCGCGUGUGUGAAGAAGGCCUUCGGGUUGUAAAGCACUUUUGUCCGGAAAGAAAUCCUUGGCUCUAAUACAGUCGGGGGAUGACGGUACCGGAAGAAUAAGCACCGGCUAACUACGUGCCAGCAGCCGCGGUAAUACGUAGGGUGCAAGCGUUAAUCGGAAUUACUGGGCGUAAAGCGUGCGCAGGCGGUUUGCUAAGACCGAUGUGAAAUCCCCGGGCUCAACCUGGGAACUGCAUUGGUGACUGGCAGGCUAGAGUAUGGCAGAGGGGGGUAGAAUUCCACGUGUAGCAGUGAAAUGCGUAGAGAUGUGGAGGAAUACCGAUGGCGAAGGCAGCCCCCUGGGCCAAUACUGACGCUCAUGCACGAAAGCGUGGGGAGCAAACAGGAUUAGAUACCCUGGUAGUCCACGCCCUAAACGAUGUCAACUAGUUGUUGGGGGAUUCAUUUCCUUAGUAACGUAGCUAACGCGUGAAGUUGACCGCCUGGGGAGUACGGUCGCAAGAUUAAAACUCAAAGGAAUUGACGGGGUCAUAGCUGUUCCU